rnacentral:rRNA from 1 species
UGCCAGCCGCCGCGGUAAUACGAAGGGACCUAGCGUAGUUCGGAAUUACUGGGCUUAAAGAGCUCGUAGGUGGUUAAAAAAGUUGGUGGUGAAAUCCCAGAGCUUAACUCUGGAACUGCCAUCAAAACUUUUCAGCUAGAGUAUGAUAGAGGAAAGCAGAAUUUCUAGUGUAGAGGUGAAAUUCGUAGAUAUUAGAAAGAAUACCAAUUGCGAAGGCAGUUCACUGGACCGUGAUCGACGCUGAGGAGCGAAAGCUAGGGGAGCAAACAGGAUUAGAUA